rnacentral:tRNA from 1 species
GAGAUUAUAGUCAAAUAUGACAUUUGAGUUGCAUUCAAAAAGUACUUAUAGUUAAUUUUA